UUCGCCAUUACAGGAAAACUCAGAACGACUCUCUGGUUUUCCUUUUUUUUUUACCUGAAGUGACCAGAGACGGAGUGUGGGAAACCGGGUCCUGGGCAGAACCAGGAGAAAAUGUCCCCUAAGAAACCUCAGAGGCUGUCUUUCAGAUCCGAAUCAUGGGCUGAGAUCAUCCGUCCAUCCUCCUCUCCAGUGUAGCACGAUCUUCUGCUGCUGCAGGGAUUACAGGAGGAGCAGUGAUGGGGCACACUAUGCUGGUUUCACAGUGAAUUAGCAUGCUGCUGUUGUGUUGGCCAGCACAAUGUAGGUUACCGAGAGGAAGAGCAGGCAGGUGACGCUCUCAGUGCUGGCCUUUUCUGGACGCUGGUGCAAGAGCAGCCCAGGUGACGGCUCAGAGAGCUUCAACCUCGAAGACCUGUGAGGCGGACAUGAAUUAUAAAGGCGAACGCCUUUGAAGUGUUAUGAAGAACUUUCAUCCAUUGCUUGCUUGGUAAAGAAAUGAAGCUUGAGGAUUUAGGAUAAACCUUUGACAAGACUUUAGUUUCAGAAACUUCCUGAAUGUGUGGAAAAGGGGUGAAGAAGGCAGCACUGCUGCUCAGCCAAAUUCAACCAGCUCUAUAUGCCGAUGUCCUCCCAAAAGGGACACGGCCCCUGCUUAAAUUGCAGGUUUUCAUGAUGGAGCAGGAUGAAUGAUUUGAAAACAUUUUCAACAAAUUUAUCCACUAAAGUUUAUCUG